UACGGGGGGAGCAAGCGUUGUUCGGAUUUACUGGGCGUAAAGGGCGCGUAGGCGGCCACCGCAAGUCGACUGUGAAAUCUCCGGGCUUAACUCGGAAAGGUCAGCCGAUACUGCGGGGCUAGAGUGCAGAAGGGGCAACUGGAAUUCUCGGUGUAGCGGUGAAGUGCGUAGAUAUCGAGAGGAACACCUGCGGCGAAGGCGGGUUGCUGGGCCGUACCUGACACUGAUGCGCGACAGCAUGGGGAGCAAACAGG
rnacentral:rRNA from 1 species